UACGUAGGGGGCAAGCGUUGUCCGGAUUUAUUGGGCGUAAAGAGCGUGUAGGCGGCCAUACAGGUCCGUUGUGAAAACUGGAGGCUUAACCUCCAGACGUCGAUGGAAACCGUAUGGCUAGAGUCCGGAAGAGGAGAGUGGAAUUCCUGGUGUAGCGGUGAAAUGCGCAGAUAUCGGGAGGAACACCAGUGGCGAAGGCGACUUCCUGGCCUGUUCUUGACGCUGAGGCGCGAAAGCUAGGGUAGCAAACGGG
rnacentral:rRNA from 1 species